AACGAACGCUGGCGGCAUGCCUAACACAUGCAAGUCGAACGAGACCUUCGGGUCUAGUGGCGCACGGGUGCGUAACGCGUGGGAACCUGCCCUUAGGUUCGGAAUAACUCCCCGAAAGGGGUGCUAAUACCGGAUAAUGUCUUCGGACCAAAGAUUUAUCGCCUUUGGAUGGGCCCGCGUUGGAUUAGCUAGUUGGUAGGGUAAAAGCCUACCAAGGCGACGAUCCAUAGCUGGUCUGAGAGGAUGAUCAGCCACACUGGGACUGAGACACGGCCCAGACACCUACGGGUGGAGGCAGGGGGGAAAAUGGGAAAUGGGGCGAAAGCCUGAACCCGCAAUGCCCGGGGAGGGAAGAAGGCCUGAGGGUUGGAAAGCUUCUUUAACCGGGCUGAUAAGGACAGUACCGGGAGAAGAAGCCCCGGCUAACUCCGU
rnacentral:rRNA from 1 species